CCCUUCCUGGGGCGCUUUCUCUACCUUGGCAAUCAAAGCUAAACUCCCAUUGCUAGCCCCACGGCCAGCCUGCAGCCUGGGGCGAGGGCAAGCCUCCCACUUCAGCGCCCCAAGCCCGGCCAGAGGAGACGCUGUCCCCAGAGGCCAGAAGCCGCUGGCACUGACCACGCGGAGGGCCAGGGGGACGGAGGGGCAGGCUUCUCACUCCGCACCCCAAACCCUCAAUCGGACUCUGGCUCCGGAGGCAAGAACAGAUCCGGGGAAAAGUUAGGGGCGCGGUGGAGGGUGGAGGAAACAAAGUUGAAGGAGGGAAGGCUCGGUGGGGUAGCCCCCCCCGCAGCCGGAGCCGGGAAAGGGGAGGAUUUGGAGAGCUGCGAAGGCGAGGGGGGACGGAGUUGCCGGGGACCCGCGCGAACUCCCCUAAAGCUGAGGGGGGGGUGGCGUCCCAGGCACCCGGGCGGCGGGCUCGGCACGGGGCGCGGGGCGCGGGGCGCGGGGCGCGGGCGGCAGCCCGAGGAGCCGGUCUCUUACCUGCUGCCCGCUUGGGUGCCUGCUGUUUCCGCCUGGGCAUCGCUCUACUUUCCUCCAGUCCCACUUCUGGCGCCCCAGCCCCGAGCCGCGCGCGGGGCCCGCUGUCUCUCGCCUCGCCGGGUGUCCUCCGUCUCUCGCCCGGCGGCUCCCAGGACGUCACUCGGCCUCUGCCCCCCGACGAUCCCCCCCCGCAACUCCGCCGCCGCGGGCCGGAGACCCCUCUCGGGGCGCAGACGCGGGGCCGGAGCCUGCGGCGGCGAGUGGAGGUGGUCUCUGCCUUGUUUGUUUGUUUGGGGUUUUGUUUUUUCCUCCCUCUGUUUUUGUUUUUGCUUUUGGAUGUAUAUAUUUUUUGUUUUUGCUUUUUUUUUGUGGUGACUGGUGAGACACUUGAUUUCUUUAUUAAACAUCCAAGACCGGGUUCAGAUGGGAGGACGAGGGGCGCACACGCGCCGCACGCACGCGCGUAAAGAUAAGGAAGAAAAAAGCAAUCCUGGGAAGCGAGGCGGGUUUCUUCUUUCUCUCCUUCCUCCUCCUUCUGCUCUUUCCCUCCUGCUCCUGCACUUCCUCCUCCUCCUCCUCCUCCUCCUCUGCUCUUCCUCCUCCUCCUCCUCCCUCCUACUCCUCCUCCUCCUCCUCCUGCUGCUGCUGCUGGGGCUCGGCUCUGGCUCGAUGGCGGCGCCCCGAGAUCCCUGCGGCCGGGGCCGGCUGUGGCUGUCGUCAGAUCCCCGUCUAGUUGGCUCCUUAUGGCUGGUGACUGUUUUGCCGCUGCUGAAGAAUCCAGACCAAGUCUUGGGCCCAGGAAUCCAUUGCUCAACUUCAUUAGCAACAGGAAGACAUUAAGUGAAAGUAAAGACUGGAACAGCCCAGAACCAUGUGACAGGCAGCCUUUAAGUCCUGGGCUCUGGUAUAUUUUAUGCCACCUCAACUGUGCAUCAAGCUCCACUUCCUGGACUCAUUAGAACUGUGUGCCCAAAGGUGCCCCUCAACUUUCAGAAGCAAAUAGAGAAUGAUAUAAUUCACUCUGAGGACACCUUUCUGUGUUAUCCGAGCUUGUCUUAUCUAUUAUGAUUAGGCGUUAAGCAUCCUGUUGUCCUUAAAAUUUCAUGAGAUUCUCCCCCUGCUUGCUAGGUUUAUGUCAAAGUGACUUGUCCUAAAGGCUGUUUUUACCCAACAAUACAGCUUGUCUUUUCCCCUCAGCUGUUGCUGGGCUGUCCAGCAAGUGGAGGAGCCCACAGACUUAAAAUGGUUGGAUACCAUGGGAGCAUGGGCAGCCCACUUUCAGAAGGAAUCUCUUGCUCUUGCUCCCUGGUGAUAAACAUUUGAAGACUGAGAUAAAAUGGCCAGGGUUGAGCCCAGGGCUCUGUGCAUGCUGGGUAGGCAUGCCAACUCCUGAGCUGAUUCGUGGGUCACCUAGAAAAGAAAUCCAAUAAUAAUAACAACAUUAAUUGCAGCUGUCACAUAUUGAACACAGACAAAGUGCCAGACACUGUGCUAAAUGCCUGACAUGCAAAAUCUAUUGACUCCAAUCCAUAUAACA
rnacentral:lncRNA from 1 species